GGAACAAGCAAAAAAAUAAAAAAAGAUGCAUCAGAUCUCACCCAGAAACAGUAGUGCUUAAACUUUUAUUAGCAAGUCAACCUACCAUAAAAUAAAACUAAGCAGCAGUCCAAUGAGUAAUUCAACUUAUCAUGCAAUUUUAGUUGUAGACCUGUACCUACAAUAUGUGGACUCCACUUACAAGAUUUCGAACAAACCCUAAGAGAGAUGGUGAGUAAACUUUUCUAUGUGCAUGAAAAAAAAUUUAUUUUUAAUAUGUAUAUUUUGUUUUCACUAAGAAAUUCUUAGGGUGCAAUGUGCAUACUCCACG
rnacentral:lncRNA from 1 species